GACGAACGCUGGCGGCGUGCCUAACACAUGCAAGUCGAACGGAGUUAAGACUUCGGUUUUAACUUAGUGGCGAACGGGUGAGUAACGCGUGAGAAACCUGCCUUUCAGUGGGGGACAACAGUUGGAAACGACUGCUAAUACCGCAUAAUGUUAUUUGGGGGCAUCCCCGGAUAACCAAAGAUUUAUUGCUGAAAGAUGGUCUCGCGUCUGAUUAGCUAGUUGGUGAGGUAACGGCUCACCAAGGCGACGAUCAGUAGCCGGUCUGAGAGGAUGAACGGCCACAUUGGGACUGAGAUACGGCCCAGACUCCUACGGGAGGCAGCAGUGGGGAAUAUUGGGCAAUGGGGGAAACCCUGACCCAGCAACGCCGCGUGAAGGAAGAAGGCCUUCGGGUUGUAAACUUCUUUUACCUAGGGACGAACAAAUAGACGGUACCUCGGAGAAAAAGACAACGGCUAACUACGUAG
rnacentral:rRNA from 1 species